UCCCAGUCUUACUGAAUGAUUUUCUUUAAUG
rnacentral:piRNA from 1 species